CUUUUUCUUUAUUUGUUGUACUGCUUUGCUUUUUCUGUCACAUGGGAGAAAAUGUUGCUGUAAAGAAAAGAAGUGAUACAGAUAGUCCAGGAGCUUGUCCUUCAUGAAAUGAACAUUUGAUUUGACAUCAUUUUUGUCGCCUUUUGCAUGAGGUAGGACAUCGUCCAGGUAGAAACGAAUCAUUUCAGAUACAGUCUGGCAACCAAUUGAACUCUUGCCUUUGCUUUACUUGUAUUAUCAAGAGCAUUGCUAAACAGAGUUCUAUUACAGAAUAUUCAUAGAGACAAACCACCAGCAUUACAGGAGAUGUCUGUAUGUCAUUAUGUAAGGGCAAGGAUGACUUACAAAUACUUUCAUGUAACAUUUAUAUGGAAUAUUAGGCAUUUCAUGGAUAUAGAUCACACUUCCAGAAAAUGGUGAGGUAGAACAUGAAAAUAUGAUUGGAUGGAGGAGGAGGAGGAACAUCUCAUCUGUUUGAAAAUUGUUUAAAUAAUGUUUUUAUACAUAAUGUCAGUUUAAUAUGUAGUGAAUUUUUGUGUCAUGGGGAGUGUUACUAUAAUACUUUAUUUUUUAUGAAUAAAAAGAUUUUUUGCACAGAUUAAUUUAGUACACAUUUUUAUAGGCAGAUUGAAGUUAGUGAACUGCUAUGGUAUAGAGAUUGGAACACAUCUCUAGAUGGACAAUUUAUAUAUUUAUAUAAUUUAUAUAUUUUUUGGGUUCUAUUUUUUUAUUCUAUUUCUCUUUUUUUCUUUUAAUUUGGAUAUACAAUGCUUUAGAGGGACCCACUCAGGUUGAUAUGGCGCUGCUGAAUAAGCGGGCGCUCUCCAUUUUAGACUAUGGUGGUGAGAGCCCCUGGACAGGGGUUUAGCGACUCAGUUCUGGGGACUCUCCCUUUGACUGAUGCCUCGGGGUACAUAGAUAAUGGGCCCCUCGACACAUGGUGUUGGAAGCAGAAUUAGAGAGUUAAUAUAUGGGUCGCCUUUAAUGUAUGAG